CCUGGCGGCGAUAGCGCGGUGGUCCCACCUGACCCCAUGCCGAACUCAGCAGUGAAACGCCGUAGCGCCGAUGGUAGUGUGGGGUCUCCCCAUGUGAGAGUAGG
rnacentral:rRNA from 1 species